AAGGGAGACCUAAUUCGGGUAUAAGACGAAAAAAUAGUAGUCGAAACCAAGAAUCAAUCCCAAAAGGUCGGAACGAGGUAUGUGGCUUUCAAACUAGGUUCUGGGUUCAUAAAAGACCUGAAUCAGGAACAAGGGCUAUUAGCUCAGGUGGUUAGAGCGCACCCCUGAUAAGGGUGAGGUCCCUGGUUCGAGUCCAGGAUGGCCCACCUGCACAGGUGGCAAAAACAAAGAAGAGAAGCGAGGAAUCAGCACCUUAUCUUACUUAUAUAGUAAGAGAGAAUGCUGGCUCUGAGUACAGAGUCCAGAGGAACCUUGAAAACUGCAUAGAGCUAGGUGAAAAAGCCAAAAAAGAAGACCGCAA
rnacentral:tRNA from 1 species